GCUCUACCGGCCCGGCCCCGCCGUGCUGGGGGAUGCUGAGCUGAAACAGGCGCUCCUGGCUGAUGCCUCAGCUGUGGACAUGGACCUGUAUGAGGCCCAGACACUGGCAGAUGCCCUGAAGUGGUACCUCCAGGAGCUCCCCACACCCCUGAUCCCUUCAGCUCUCUACAGUGACUUGGUCCACAUGGCUCAAGAGACCCCAGGCCUGGAGGAAUGUGGCCAGCGAGCCAGAGCCCUGCUGGCCCCCCCAGCCCUGCCACAGCCACAGGCACUGCUCCUGCGCCAGCUCGCCCGCCA
rnacentral:lncRNA from 1 species